rnacentral:rRNA from 1 species
UACGGAGGUGGCUAACGUUGUUCGGAUUCAUUGGGUGUAAAGGGUAUGUAGGUGGCCUUGUAAGUCGGAUGUGAAAUCCUUUGGCUUAACCAAAGAACUGCAUUCGAAACUGCAUGGCUUGAGUUUGGGAGAGGAGAGUGGAAUUCCCGGUGUAAGAGUGAAAUCUGUAGAUAUCGGGAGGAACACCAUUGGCGAAAGCGGCUCUCUGGCCCAAAACUGACACUGAAAUACGAAAGCUAGAGGAGCAAACAGGAUUAGAUACCCCUGUA